GGAAGGAUCAUUAACACACUUGCAUGCUGUGAGCAUUCGUGCUUGCAUCAUCAAUCACACCGUGCGAACCGUGGUUGUCCCAAGUUUUGUGUACUACCCCGACGCGACCGCGUGGCCGCGGCAUCGGUGCGACUUUCGUCGUACCCUUUCCGCGCUCCCACGCGUCCACGCGCUUUUCGGGCGAAAACACCGUGUCUUUCUGAAUUUGUCUGAAAACGACAUGCGAAACGCGUCAGCUUGCUGGCGCGCUUCGUAAGAACGAGAAUGACGAAAACUACUCUUAACAAUGGAUAUCUUGGCUCGCGCAACGAUGAAGAACGCAGCGAAAUGCGAUACGUAGUGUGAAUUGCAGGAUCCAGUGAAUCAUCAAAUCUUUGAACGCAAGUGGCGCCCGUGGGUAUUCCUGCGGGCAUGCCUGUUUGAGUGUCAAUUUCUCUCCUCUCACCUCCUCUCUUCGGAGUCCGAGGUGGGGAACAUUGGGCGUUUCCGACACUGUGGCCCACUUUGUGUGGACACACAGUGAUGGACACCUGAAAUUCAUGUGAGCCUCUGCCAUUUCCUCGUGAAAUGGCGGACGUGCGGCUCCAUAAGGUGUGGUGAGUGCUCUUGAGCACGACGCUACACCGCCAUUAUGGAUUUGUCGCGCAGUUGUUUGCUCACGCUGCUCGAAGAACGUCCCCGCGUUCGUGCGCUGCGGCGCAUGCUGGGUCUGACGUUCUACUCUAUCCGACACCUUUGACCUCAAAUCAGGCAAGGCUACCCGCUGAAUUUAAGCAUAUCAUUAAGCGGAGGAAAAGAAACUAACAAGGAUUCCCUUAGUAACGGCGAGUGAAGCGGGAAAAGCUCAACAUGAAAAUCUGGCAGCUCUGCUGUCCGAAUUGUAGUUUCGAGAAGCGCUACCGGCGGUCGCCACGGCCCAAGUUCCCUGGAAUGGGACAUCGUAGAGGGUGAGAAUCCCGUCUCUGGCUGUGGGACGGACUGCUGUACGGGGUGCUUUCAAUGAGUCGGGUUGCUUGGGAUUGCAGCCUUAAAUGGGUGGUGAGUUUCAUCUAAAGCUAAAUACUGGCGCGAGACCGAUAGCGAACAAGUACCGUGAGGGAAAGAUGAAAAGAACUUUGAAAAGAGGGUGAAAUAGUCCUUGAAAUUGUUAAGAGGGAACCGAUGGGAGUCAGCGAUACGCGCAGGCAAUUCAGGCGUCCGCUUGGGCGGCGCGGCGGUCCGUGAGCGCAAGCCACGACUGUCGCGAACAACCUUGACGACGCUGCACUUUGUCUGCGGGUAGGUCAGCAUCAGUUUGCGGCGCCGGAGAAGCGCCUGGGAAAGGUGAAUGGGGUACGCUUGGCGUGCUACCAUUGUUACAGUCCCGGGUGGCCUACGGUGCGGCAGACUGAGUAACGCUGGGCGCGCCUUGGCGGGGCCGCUGUCGGCUAUGUGUGCGUGACGUCGAGGAGAGCUUGCUCUGCUUGCGUCCCGUGUGCAUACUCGGCAGGUCGGCCACACGCGCUCAUCAGAUGCUGGCGAAAUGGCUCUCACCGACCCGUCUUGAAACACGGACCAAGGAGUCUAACAUAUAUGCGAGUAUUGAGGUGACAAACCUACAAUGCGCAAUGAAAGUAAUGGGUGGGAGCGGUUCACGCCGUGCACCAUCGACCGAUCUGGAGGUUUUCUGAAAGAUUUGAGUUGGAGCAUAUCUGUUGGGACCCGAAAGAUGGUGAACUAUGCCUGGGUAGGAUGAAGCCAGAGGAAACUCUGGUGGAGGUCCGAAGCGAUACUGACGUGCAAAUCGUUCGUCAAAUUUGGGUAUAGGGGCGAAAGACUAAUCGAACCAUCUAGUAGCUGGUUCCCUC
rnacentral:misc_RNA from 1 species